GAAAGUAAAGGGGCAGUACUGGUUUCUUGACAGAACAAGAAAUUGGUUAUUGCCCCCCCCUUAAUAUAUUAUAUAUAUAAUAUAAGUUUUUAUUUCUUUAUUCUAUUACUAAGAAUAAGACUUUCUUUAUUUUUUAUAUAUUUAUUAUUUAAAUAUUAUUUUUUUUUUUAUUUAUAAAUAUAAAAGUCUUAUUAUUAUUAUUUUUUUAUUUUUAGUUUAUUUUUAGUUUAGGAUUAAGUAUAUUAGGGUAUUAAAUAGUAAAUACUUUUUUUUUAUUUCUAUAAAAUAUAGGAUUUUUUUAUUUAUAUGAAAUUCUCUUUACAACUUUUUUUUACAUUACAACUUUUUU
rnacentral:misc_RNA from 1 species